GGUCCCCUGAGGAGUGGCUUCCGGAGUUUAACCUCGUUAAGUGACCGCCUGGGGAGUACGGCCGCAAGGCUAAAACUCAAAUGAAUUGACGGGGGCCCGCACAAGCGGUGGAGCAUGUGGUUUAAUUCGAUGCAACGCGAAGAACCUUACCUACUCUUGACAUCCACGGAAUUUGGCAGAGAUGCCUUAGUGCCUUCGGGAACCGUGAGACAGGUGCUGCAUGGCUGUCGUCAGCUCGUGUUGUGAAAUGUUGGGUUAAGUCCCGCAACGAGCGCAACCCUUAUCCUUUGUUGCCAGCGAUUCGGUCGGGAACUCAAAGGAGACUGCCGGUGAUAAACCGGAGGAAGGUGGGGAUGACGUCAAGUCAUCAUGGCCCUUACGAGUAGGGCUACACACGUGCUACAAUGGCGCAUACAAAGAGAAGCGACCUCGCGAGAGCAAGCGGACCUCACAAAGUGCGUCGUAGUCCGGAUCGGAGUCUGCAACUCGACUCCGUGAAGUCGGAAUCGCUAGUAAUCGUGGAUCAGAAUGCCACGGUGAAUACGUUCCCGGGCCUUGUACACACCGCCCGUCACACCAUGGGAGUGGGUUGCAAAAGAAGUAGGUAGCUUAACCUUCGGGAGGGCGCUACCACUUUGAUAC
rnacentral:rRNA from 1 species